UGCUGUUACUGUUAGCGUAUCAAACAACAGAGCGUUUUAAAAUGGAACUCUUGGACUCAAUUUUGAUUUUAAUGACAGUGUAUGCCUUCAAUGCUUCUGCUGAAAUAAAGCUGCAAGAAUCUGAUCCAAUAACUCUACUGCCCGGACAGUCACACCGGUUGUCUUGUAAAGCCUCAGGGUUCACCUUCAGUAGCCACUACAUGGGCUGGGUUCAUCAACCUCCUGGUAAAGGACUGGAAUGGGUGGCAACAAUCAAUCCUGGUGGCAGCAGCCAGUGGUAUGCAAAAUCUGUUGAGGGACGAUUUACAAUCAGCAGAGACAAUUCCAACAACAUGCUGUACUUAAACAUGAACAACCUGCAAACUACAGACAUGGCUGUGUAUUACUGUGUUAGAUAA